rnacentral:rRNA from 1 species
UACGUAGGGACCAAGCGUUGUUCGGAUUUACUGGGCGUAAAGGGCGCGUAGGCGGCAAUUCAAGUCAGCUGUGAAAUCUCCGGGCUUAACUCGGAACGGUCAGCUGAUACUGCUUUGCUAGAGUGCAGAAGGGGCAAUCGGAAUUCUUGGUGUAGCGGUGAAAUGCGUAGAUAUCAAGAGGAACACCUGAGGUGAAGACGGGUCGCUGGGCUGCCACUGACGCUGAGGCGCGAAAGCUAGGGGAGCAAACGGG